UUACGGCCACAUCACGUUGAAACACCGGUUCCCGUACGAUCACCAAAGUUAAGCAACGUCGAGCUUGAAUGGGUAACCCUCUUGGGAAUAACAGGUGCUGUAAG